rnacentral:rRNA from 1 species
GUGCCAGCCGCCGCGGUAAUACGUAGGGGGCAAGCGUUGUCCGGAAUCAUUGGGCGUAAAGAGCGCGUAGGCGGCCAGAUAAGUCCGGUGUGAAAGUCCCAAGCUCAACCUGGGAAUGCCGCCGGAAACUGUCUGGCUAGAGUCCGGAAGGGGCCAGUGGAAUUCCCGGUGUAGCGGUGAAAUGCGCAGAUAUCGGGAGGAACACCAAUGGCGAAGGCGGCUGGCUGGGACGGUACUGACGCUGAGGCGCGAAAGCGUGGGGAGCGAACAGGAUUAGAUACCCUGGUAGUCCACGCUGUAAACGAUGGGCACUAGGUGUGGGAGGUGUCGACUCCUCCCGUGCCGCAGCUAACGCAUUAAGUGCCCCGCCUGGGGAGUACGGCCGCAAGGCUAAA